CGAAUAACCCCAUAAUAAAUUGGGCAGAAGCUAAUUUCAGCAAGCAACGGACUUUUCAGCAGUCAGCCUGCUGUUCUGAAAUUGCAACCAUCCGAACUUCUACCAUAACAGCGGUACUAACUUCGGUGACCACUAACAGUUCGGAGACAUUACUUGCUACCAUCAACUGACUUUUUUUCUUUGAGUGUACACAUGCAUUGUUUGUCAAAAAUAAUCCUUAUGUUUUCAAUGCAAACAUUUUUAAACCAAAUUGAAAUAGAUCAACAUACCAUUUUCGCUCCAACCGGCCACAACUCCUGUACUGCCCACUGCUAUUGCACUGUCACUUACAGGUUGAAUUCAUCAUGGAAAAUAAUCCAGAGGACCCUUUCAAAUUACAUGAAUCUCAGUCUUUAUCAUCGGCAGUCGAAAAUAUUAUGAACUGUACCUGUAAUUUUAAAAUGACUGAAUCCCGUUGGGACUUUUGCCGGAGCCUUGGCAUAUUCAUUGCUGGUGUUGCAUUAACAAUACAACUCCAAACUGUGGUACACAACAUAAUGCAGAACUAACAUCAUCCAAUCCACUCAAUAAAUUAAUUUCUUCUA
rnacentral:sRNA from 1 species